rnacentral:rRNA from 1 species
AUUGAACGCUGGCGGAAUGCUUUACACAUGCAAGUCGAACGGCAGCACGGGUGCUUGCACCUGGUGGCGAGUGGCGAACGGGUGAGUAAUAUAUCGGAACGUAUCCAAUAAUGGGGGAUAACUAGCCGAAAGGUUAGCUAAUACCGCAUACGCCCUGAGGGGGAAAGCUGGGGAUCGUAAGACCUAGCGUUGAUGGAGCGGCCGAUAUCUGAUUAGCUAGUUGGUGGGGUGAAGGCCUACCAAGGCGAUGAUCUGUAGCUGGUCUGAGAGGAUGAUCAGCCAAACUGGGACUGAGACACGGCCCAGACUCCUACGGGAGGCAGCAGUGGGGAAUAUUGGACAAUGGGGGAAACCCUGAUCCAGCAAUGCCGCGUGUGUGAAGAAGGCCUUCGGGUUGUAAAGCACUUUCGAUGGGGAAGAAAUGCUUAAGGUUAAUACCCUUAAGAGCUGACGUUACCCAUAUAAGAAGCACCGGCUAACUCCGUGCCAGCCGCCGCUGUAA